CGCGCGCGCGCAUUUGUGCGCAGGUUCGAAUCUCCGCCGCUUCGUGGCUGCUCCCCAACGUCCGGCCGCAUCUCGGCCGCGGCGAGGGCCCUGCGCGCGACUGGACCGGACCGGCCGCCCCGCCCCCUCCAGCCGCCGCCUCGCCCGGACUUGGUCCUCGCCCUCCCUCGCGCGCUGCGCGCCCCGCCCUCGCCUUUCGCCUCCAGCUAUCGGCGCUCGGCCUCCCGCGCUGGGCGGGCUCCGCCCGAGCCUUCGGGGCCCAUGGCCAAGCGGCGUGCGGCCGAGCCGCUGACGUUCCACGUGCCUUGGAAGCGGCUCCUGCUCUGCAACUUUCCUGAGGAGUCGCCGCCGCCGCCGCUCUGGAUCCCGUCGCCGGGGGCCUCGCCUCCCGGGCAGCCCCUCGGCGUCCCGGAGCUGCCCCGAAAGCGUAAAAUCGACGCGGGGGCUAUGAGUGAACCUUCGGUUUCGCCCAGCAAGCGCCGCGAUAGUGGUGACACCGGCGCUCCGGACGGCGCGGAGCGGGAGGGCCGCGGCCUGGAAACCGGCGAGCCGCGGCUGCUGCAGCCGCCCGUGAGGCCCUGCGGGCCGGGGGAGGAGCCCCGGGGCGUCCGGCCCCCGCGAGGCGGUGGCGACGACGGGGAGGGGCGCGCGGAGUCCCAGCGGGGAGACUGGGGGGCCGCGCCGCGCCAGCUCAAUGAAGAAUUUUGGCAGUAUAACACCUUCCAGUACUGGAGGAAUCCUUUACCACCUAUUGAUCUGGCAGACAUUGAAGAUGUAAGUGAAGACAACCUGACAGAAACAACACUUCAGGCCAAGAAUGAUGUGGUUGAGAUUGAUAUGGAGUCUUGACAGAAGGAGCUGAAAAACUUUGAACCAAGAGUGAACACUCACAGAACUGCAGUGGCAGCAGGGCCAGCCCAAAUUCUGAGAGAAGCUUCAGUUUUUGGGUGGAAGAUCAGGAAAGGGAGCUGCUUUGAGCAGGAGAGAGAAUUCUGGAGAUGAGAGAGCUGGAAGAGUUGAGAACUGGUAGUUCAAAAGGAUGCUGAAGCUUUAGACACAAGCACGGCUGGGAAGAAAAACAAGGCUGAGAGAACACAGAGAUGGAAACCUCAGGAUAAAAUUCAAUGGCUGAAGGCUGAGUGAAAUUUACCCUGGCUGUGGUUAUGAAGAGGGUAAGUGACUGGACCUCUUUGUUGCUCUUGUGUUUAUUUUCUCUUAUGCUAGAUUUUAUACAUCAUAAAAUGCAAAAGGCAUACUCUUGAGUUUAUAGUUA